rnacentral:lncRNA from 1 species
CCCCUCGUGCCUUUAUCCCACGCUGCCCUUCAAUUUCCCCCAUUUUUUACCACAAAAAAAAAAAAAAUUUAGAAAAGAACUAGCAAAAUCUCCUUAAAUCAAAGAAGAAACUACACUUCGCCCUCUAUUUUCCUCCUUUUUUAACCAGCAAAAACUUCAAUUAAUGUUUGAAAAAAAAAAGAUUAAAAGAAGGGAGUGGUGGAUUUUUAUGAAGAAGAGAAAAAAAGUGGAAGCAAAUAUGUUGUCGUUGUGUUGAGGAACAGAGAGUGGAGGGCUGUUUGGUUAUAUUUGCCGAAGCUUGAAGCUUUUUCGGUGGUGGACGGACUAUGGUUGUUGGAGAGCCUCGUCCGAGAUAGAGCUCGCCAUUAAUGGAAGAAAAUAAAGCACAAGGUGCUCUUUUUGAUUAUGUUUAGUUGCAUUUUGAAAUAAAAAAUCAGUGAGUUGGAGGAGGGUGAGAAAAAAUUGAUGGUUGUUGGGAUGGUAGGUUGGUGGUUGUGGGUUGAAAAAGGUGGAGAUGGUGGUGUGGGUUGCAGGAAGUGGAGGAAAGGUGACUAGGUGAGAGAAGAGAAAUAUGAUUUUAUUUUUAAAAAUAAAAUUUAAAAUUAUUAUUUUGCUUUUUAUUUAAUAUUAUUAAUUAAUAAUUUUUUAAAAUAAUUGAUUAAGAUUUAGAAAAGAACUAGCAAAAUCUCCUUAAAUCAAAGAAGAAACUACACUUCGCCCUCUAUUUUCCUCCUUUUUUAACCAGCAAAAACUUCAAUUAAUGUUUGAAAAAAAAAAGAUUAAAAGAAGGGAGUGGUGGAUUUUUAUGAAGAAGAGAAAAAAAGUGGAAGCAAAUAUGUUGUCGUUGUGUUGAGGAACAGAGAGUGGAGGGCUGUUUGGUUAUAUUUGCCGAAGCUUGAAGCUUUUUCGGUGGUGGACGGACUAUGGUUGUUGGAGAGCCUCGUCCGAGAUAGAGCUCGCCAUUAAUGGAAGAAAAUAAAGCACAAGGUGCUCUUUUUGAUUAUGUUUAGUUGCAUUUUGAAAUAAAAAAUCAGUGAGUUGGAGGAGGGUGAGAAAAAAUUGAUGGUUGUUGGGAUGGUAGGUUGGUGGUUGUGGGUUGAAAAAGGUGGAGAUGGUGGUGUGGGUUGCAGGAAGUGGAGGAAAGGUGACUAGGUGAGAGAAGAGAAAUAUGAUUUUAUUUUUAAAAAUAAAAUUUAAAAUUAUUAUUUUGCUUUUUAUUUAAUAUUAUUAAUUAAUAAUUUUUUAAAAUAAUUGAUUAAGAUAAUUAUGAUUUGACAUUAAUUUCUGUGAUGUAGAUCUAACAUAUCGUUGAUUUUUUGGCAAGUGAGUUACAUAUAUGGUAGAAAGGGUUUAAAAAUCUUGUGUUUUAAUAGGU